rnacentral:rRNA from 1 species
UACGUAGGGACCAAGCGUUGUUCGGAUUUACUGGGCGUAAAGGGCGCGUAGGCGGCAAUUCAAGUCAUCUGUGAAAUCUCCGGGCUUAACUCGGAACGGUCAGAUGAUACUGCUUUGCUCGAGUGCGGAAGGGGCAAUCGGAAUUCUUGGUGUAGCGGUGAAAUGCGUAGAUAUCAGGAAGAACACCCGUGGCGAAGGCGGCUCUCUGGGACGGUACUGACGCUGAGACGCGAAAGCGUGGGGAGCGAACAGG